UACGAAGGGAGCUAGCGUUGUUCGGAAUCACUGGGCGUAAAGCGCACGUAGGCGGAUGUGUCAGUCAGGGGUGAAAUCCCGGAGCUCAACUUCGGAACUGCCUCUGAUACAGCACGUCUUGAGUCCGGAAGAGGUGGGGUGGAAUUCCUAGUGUAGAGGUGAAAUUCGUAGAUAUUAGGAAGAACACCGGUGGCGAAGGCGGCCCACUGGUCCGGUACUGACGCUGAGGAGCGAAAGCAUGGGGAGCGAACAGG
rnacentral:rRNA from 1 species